GACGAACGCUGGCGGCGUGCUUAACACAUGCAAGUCGAGCGAGAAAGCGCCUUCGGGCGUGAGUACAGCGGCGAACGGGUGAGUAACACGUGGGCAACCUGCCCCGGAGACCGGGAUAACGUUUCGAAAGGGACGCUAAUACCGGAUGACGCGUGACCUGCCAAGUGGGUCACGCCAAAUGGUAGCUUAGGCCUCUGCUCUGGGAUGGGCCCGCGCAGCAUUAGCUUGUUGGUGAGGUAACGGCUCACCAAGGCCGCGAUGCUUAGCUGGUCUGAGAGGACGAUCAGCCACACUGGGACGGAGACACGGCCCAGACUCCUACGGGAGGCAGCAGUGGGGAAUCUUGCGCAAUGGGCGGAAGCCUGACGCAGCAACGCCGCGUGAGCGAAGACGGCCUUCGGGUUGUAAAGCUCUGUCAGGAGGGACGAAGCCACUCCGGUGAAUAGCCGAGAGGGUGACGGUACCUCCAGAGGAAGCCCCGGCUAACUACGUGCCAGCCGCCGCGGUAAAAC
rnacentral:rRNA from 1 species